GCCAUGUCCACACCCAGGAUACGAACCAGCGAAACUCUGGGCCUCUGAAGCAGAGCGCACGAACUUAACCACUCAGCCACGGGGCCGGCCCCCUAGGUUUGUUUCUUUUUAUGUUUCCCUGGUGCAUUUGGCCCAAGGAUCCCCUGGCCAAGGCUAGGUAGGACAGGAGAAGUCACCUCUGCCACCUGCCAGGGCGUGACCCAGGGAGGCCGGUCUUGUGUGGCGGCUGCAGUGGCCGAGGGACAAUGGCCGGGGGACACAGGGCUGGCCUCUCAGCCCUGGCAGGAGGAGCUGCAGACAGGUGUCGGGUGGAGAUGACGGGAAGCCCAGGGCUGCCUGGGCCAGGUCCCACCGUCCACUUCCCACCAGUCAGGUGGUGGUUGUGGCAUUGAAGGUAAGCCCAGGAGACACUUUCCCCCAGAAUGACCAAGCAGGAUGAGUGUGUGGGUUGGCGGCUGCUGGCUCCUGUCUGUAACUGACGCCUGGCGUCUGGGUGAAGGAUCCUCACUGGGGGGAUUGCGGAUGGGCUGUCCCUCCUUGUCCUUAGUGCCACGGGGCUCAGUGACCAUGGAAGCCCUCCACCACACAGCGCCCACAGAGGCUUGCGAAGUGCCCUGUCAAGCACUUUCCACGCACUCCCUCGCUUAAUUCUUAACCCUAUGAGGAGGGCACGACCUCUCCAUGUUGUCCAGUGCCGAAGGCAUGGGGUGAGCCUCUGGUCCAGGAUCGCAGAGGCCUGCAGGCCCCGGCCCUCAGCUGUGCGCAGGCUCCGAGCUGCCGCGUUCACGUCUCGGAAUUGAGCCGCCUCGGCCAAGCCAUCCUGCUGAUCUGUCGUCUGGUAAUUUCUGUGGGCAAUUUUUUGUAACCUUAUUUCAUAAGUUGUUAGCAGAAAGUGUUUUCUUAUUUCUGCAUGGCAUAAUAAAAGGUUUUAUGUUACUCACUAGAAUGUAGGAAUCUAUGUUUCUGUAUAGUAGGAAUUGGAACCCAAGGUUACUUUUUCCCUGAAAAAAAUAUAUUUUGGAGAGAAAUGAUGUUGAAAAACUUUAAAUAAUUUUAUCACAAGAAUGUGGAUACUAUUUUAUAUUUCAAAGACACUUUGCACAUUGUUAAGUUAAUAUUCUUUAAAAACCUAGACUUCUUCUGCCCCUAGUAUACAAUCUCAUCCCUAGUUCUGUGCUGAUUGGUUUGUCCUGUGUCACAUGUUUGUAAGUGUUCAGACUGCCGAGCCUCACAAUGUGGUGAGUCUUCAAAUUAUUUCUCCAGACAUUCUUAGAUAGUCUCUGUCUGCCUUUAUAUUAGCCACAAAACUCUCAGUUUUGGUAACUCGGUGACAGACAGUUUUUGGGGAUUGCUUUGGCACACAGCAUUUUGCCUAAAAGUGACAUUGCGUUCUUUCUGCUUAAUUUUCAUGAGAGAGCACAGGACCUGGUGGUGCACUGACCUGGCAGCUGUGGCGGUGGUGACACUAAGUGUGGGCCCUUCCCAUGCGUUUCUUUGUCAGCUGGCUGUCACCAGGAGGUGAGUCGGCGGCCGCUUGCCAUGUAGGCACGUGCCCGCCUCCGCUUUUCUCUUCAUCCUGUCAUCACUUUCAGUCUGUGCUUUGGGGAUUCGUGCUCUGGGAGAACAGAAGAGCCCCGAGAGCACGCCGACUGCCGCAGGUCCUCUGGAGGGCCAGCACUUCAAGUGGGCCUUCACAGCCCUGUGUCGCCAUGUCGGAGCCGCUGAAGCAGACUACGAUGUGCUGAGGGCAGGAGGAGGAAGGCUUUCACAACCCGGUGUCAACGUCGAGAGUUAUCAACAAGGGCCAGCCUGGUGGCAUAGUGGUUAAGUUCGGUGCGUUGGGUUUUCAGGUUCAGCUCUUGGGUGCGGACCUACACCAUUCAUCAGCCAUGCUGUGCUCAGCCCUAUAAAGUGGAGGAAGAUUGGCACAGAUAUUAGCUGAGGGAGAAUCUUCCUCAGGCAAAAAAUAAAGUUAACAACUCAAGGUUGAAAUUCAGCAUUCUGAAUUGUUUCACAUACACAUUGCAAAGAGAGCUUUAAAGCUUUUCCCUUGAAUUUGCCUCCUAAAGGAUUUGUAAGAAAUCUGGUAGCUGCUGCCACAGUGCUGUGCGUACGCCUGUGAAGGGCUGUGGGCAUUCCCAUUAGAAACCGAGGAUAGGGGCCCUGAGGAACGGGCCUCUGUCCUGAAAGUGGUACUUGGGCAGGGACUGUGUUUGCUCCGUGCAUGUCUGUUCCUCACUGGGAGUCUGGCUUUUGCUCAAUGUUGCUUUGAGUUGUCCUGUAAGGCUGUGGUCAAGUGGUUUUAACCACUGGGUUUGUGUCUUAAUUUACCCCAGGCCUGAUUUGUCACACUAGGAAGCAUCAGAUUGUGGUCGUUUUCAGAACAGUCCUGCAGGGGAAGGCGGUGUGUUACGGAUGGGAAAACAUGUCUGCUGGGAUGGAGUCUGUGGGCCAGGAUCUGUUGUCAUGUUCCGUGUCGUGUUGUCCACCCCCUCCCCCUCACCCCCACUCGAGUGCCUGUCUGAGCAGCUCGCAGGGAGGAGCGCAUCCUUGCGCAGGAAACUGCAUUCAUCACCAAAUGUCCCUUUGUUUAAGUCACACACAUUUGUAAGAAACACAGAAAUGCCUCAGCCAUUGCCACUGGCCCUUUUUUUUUAACUUGGCAAUUGUAUUUCUAACCAGGGUUGGGCCGUGAUGAACAUGCAGGUGGCAGCCCACUGGGAGUGUUUCAUGGUAUUGCUGUGCGCAGUGUGUAUCAGUCAGCUCCGGCUGCUGUGACAAAUGCCACUGGCUGGGCAGCUUGAGUAACAGAAUUUAUUCUCUCUGUUUGGAGGCUGAAAAUUCCAGGUCGAGGCUGGUUUCUCGCCUGGGCUCGUAGGCGCUCAUCCCAUCCCUGUGUCCUCACACGGUUGUCCCUCUGUGUGUGUGUGUGUCCUGAUCUUAUGAGGUCACCAGUCACAUCAGAUCGGGGCCCACCCAUAUGACCUCAUUUUAACUUAAUUACCUCUUCAAAGGCCCCAUCUCCACAUAAAGUCACAUUGUGAGGUACCAGGGGUUAGGGCUCCAACAGAUGAAUUUGGGGAAUACAGUUCAGCCCACAGCACCAUAUUAGAAUUUAUUUGGCCUUUCUUACUGUUAACCUGUAAGUGGGAAAGCAGUCUUGUUGGCAUUAUUCUUGACAAACUAAUUAUUUUUAAAAGGAUGCUAAUGCUCUGUUUGCUAUAAAAGGAGUGGAUAGAUCCAGUGUAGGAAGAGAGCCUGGGAAGGUGAGCGGAUUGCUGGUUCUUGAUCUCCUUGCCCACUGCCUCUCGCUGCUCUCUCGGGUUGUUGACGGAACACUCUCACUUGUUCUCCUUGUCUGUGAGUGGCGAGACUCUGCCCUGCUCUCUCAGAAGAUGCCUGUGCAUCUCCAGGGAGAUGUGGACCUGGGCCUGACACAGGGACGUGUCACCUUCGUGCUGGCAUUUCACAGGGCCUUGUGCCGGCGGCAGCUUCGUCAUUUCAGGCUGUGACACAUUUGCUUUGGAUUUCUGAGAUCGCACUCGGAGUUCCACCUUGUUGGUUUCACUGUCAGGACGUCAGUCAGGAUGGUUUCCGUUUCAGUGUUUUCUGGAACGCUGGCAUCUCGCAGCGCAUGCCGACGUUUGUGCAGGAGGUGCUGUUGAAGGUUCGUGGGAGCUUCCACCGCUUGUUUUUUUAAGAUUUUAUUUUUCCUUUUUCUCUUCAAAGCCCCCCCCGGUACAUAGUUGUAUAUUUUAGUUGUGGGUCCUUCCAGUUGUGGCAUGUGGGACGCCACCUCAGCAUUGCCUGAUGAGCAGUGCCAUGUCCGCGCCCAGGAUCCAAACCAGUGAAAUCCUGGGCCGCCAAAGCAGAGCGCACGAACUUAACCACUCGGCCACGGGGCCCGCCCUCACCUCCCUGUUGUUAAAUUUCCGGUAUGGAUUUUUAACAUUGGUCCCCACAGUCUUUGUUUCUGAGGGAAGCAAGCUGCUUUAUUUAAACUGCCACAGAAUCUCAUUCUAGUUUAACGUGUGCUCCAAGGAAGUAACCGUCCAGAUGGCCAGAGAACGGUGACCGAGGCGGGUGCACACGUACCGUCGCCAUGUUGUUCCAGAGGGCGCCCGGCAGAGCGGAGGGCUGGGUGCCGAGGCGCCUUCUGUCCUCCUGAGAAGGCAUGAUGGCGGGCUGCCUUCCUCGGAGCAGGUGAUGGGCUUGGGACAUGCUAGGCCCACCUGGAAACUGCGGCUGGCCUCAUUAAGCUUGAGUGAGGGUUCAGAUGCGAGUGUCUUCCAGGUCUUUGUUGUAGUUUAUGAACCAGUCAGUUCUAACCGAACUCAGCUUGAAUGCUGUUGAGAUAGUAGCACAAAUGUAUGUUUUCUUCUAGUAGAUUUUGUAAAUGUGGGUAUAUACAAUAAUUCAUAAGGCACCUGAAAUCUUUUAUGGGACAAAAUUGGUAUAAAUAGUUGUUUUGUCGUUGAAAGUUCUUUGUCCUAUAAUUGUGAAUUUUGAAGCUGUUCCGUAGAAGACUGCUCUUCGUUCCCAGGUCACUGUAGAUCCGUCUGGUGUACCGCCACCUCAGAGAGAUGGUUAACUAAGGUGGGUCCCAAAGCUUGCGGUCAUCGUUAGAUGAUUCCAGCUUGCCACUAGGUGAAGUUAUAAGACGGUUAUGACGUGGGGAGUUGGGGGUGCUGGGGCGGGCUUCACAAGGCCUGAUAGAACUAGCCUGGGCACGUGUUUCGGAGGCUGGUCUCUGUUCUCUAUUUUAAAACUGUCUCUGUGCCUCAGUUUCUUUCCUUGCAUGAUUUUUUUUUAAACAUCUGCAAACUCCUAAUUUGUUUAUCCAGAAUAAUACCUGUUUAAAGAAAAUUCCUGUUUCUUUACAGCACUUAGGAAAGAGUAACUUGUUUUUGCAAAAAUGUCCCUGAGAAUUACUCUCAAUAAGUGAUGGCCAUAUUGCAUAUAAAACUAGAAGAUGAUUUGGAAGGCCAGCCAGCUUGUGUUUCUCCUGAAUAUUCCUGUGUCACAGGCUUUCCUCUGCUCCCCUGGGUCAGCGAGGGGCCUGAUCCCAGCAGUGACAUCUGGGCUUUGGAUGGUUACCGUGGAGCUGGUGAUGGCAUUUGUUGCUAACCAGUGUCCUGCCCGCUGAGCCACGCUCCAUGGAGGAGCUCGUGACUGCCGUUUAGGCGUUUUAAUUCUCCAUAAAUCAGAGAGCAGUGUGGUGUUGCUUUGAGAAAGACAGCACAGAAAGUGUGGUACAAACUGCAGCUUUUCUCAGUUUACUGUCAUCGUUCUCCCAGCUGACCGUUAGCUGACAUCUCGGAACCCGCCAGGCUCUUCCGCUUAGCAUCCUGCGGGGGCGGCUUCCUGUGGGCAGCGGUGCAGACGCAUCGGAUCAGCUGGGCUGUGCCCAGGACCUCGCCGGCUCAGCGUUACACCUGCUGCCUCUCAGCUUGGACGUGCGCACUAUCCUGUAGUGUCAUCAUGAGUGGCAAGAUGGUUACGUACUAGUUCACUGGGAAACGCAGACUAGGGUAUCCUUUGAGAAAGUUCUGGGUUUGAGUGGCUUUGAGAGGAAAAUCUCCAGCAGGGGAUGAAAGCACCUAAUUGAAGAACGGAGUCCGUGGUCCAUGCAGCGCCUGGGGCACCUUGAGGCAUCAGGAGAAGCGCUCUGCGCAGACUCCUCGCAGGUGCCCCCGUGUCCCUCUGUGGCUCUCUGCAUUGCACUGUCCUCAGCCUCAGAGUGCCUGCAGGAUGUCCAUGAAGCUGAGCCCUGACCCAGGUGGAGUCAGGAGGCACCCCCAGCUGCACUGGCCGCCUCCACCAGGGGCUCUCUUACUGCACAGCAUGUCCAUAACUCUGUGAUUGGUGUCACAGGCCAGCUGAGAGCUGGUGCUGUCACCUGUUAACAGCCUCUGUGAAGUCUGGGGAGCAGGCAGGCCUGGUGGCCAAUGGCAAGUGUGGUCCCCGGUGAAAUGAUGGUGUCCUGUCAGCCGAAUGCUGAGCCCACACUCCAACUUGAGAACUGCCCCCGAGGCCCCUGCUGCCCAGCUCCCCUCAGGCUGCUUCCUGAAAGGGGAGAGUGUGCAGCGGAAGAACGCUGUUCCUGUCGUGCAUGCUUAGGAGGCCCACAAAGAGAAGGGCAUCGCAGACAGAAGACCAAAUCGGAAUCCCAGGUAACCCUGCGGGUCGUGCCUCAGGCUCGGCCCUGCCUGGCUUGGCGAUUGUAGGGUUUUCCCUGGAGUCAGGAGCACUUCCCUCGUUUAACAUGGAAUUCCUUCUCUGAGUGAUACCCAGGAGGCGGCAGGGUCUGCUUCCGCUCCUCCCUUAUCACUGCACAUUGGUGACCGGGGCUUGCAGGGGACAGUGCAGUGACCAGCCCAGCAGCCGGUGGCCGAGCAGGCACCAGGUGACGUGAUGACUCGUUGCUGACAUGCCGUUUUCUCUUGCACAGGUUCGCCCCAGUCUUUUCAUACCUUUCUGUCCCUUUCCUGUCAACAGUUAACACGCUUUGUGAAAAGGAGACUGAAAAUGGUCUCUGAUGAGCCCAAAUAAGCCCUUCUGGAAAAUGCAGUUGCUACAGGUGGCUUUUUGUAUGCGUUUUCCUCAGUGUCUGACCUUGUGCUUGUAGCUCACCAUUACAUUACAUCAUCUGGGGUAGAAGGGAAUUAAAGAGCCAAGAAAUAGGAAUCUCUUGCACCUUAAUUUUGUUAAUCGUCAGGAAUGGGUGGUCCUUAGGGAUGAGCGGUAAGAACGAGAAAUCGUGCUGCACAUCCACCUCAGGCUGCUGUCUCUCCUGCUGGUGAGACUCAGCCACGUGGUCGUCUGGGUAGGUGUUCGGAGUCCAGGCUCUGUGCAGACUGAACUGGGCCAGGGGCUGUGGUCUCCGGUCACCCCUCCCCUCCCUGGGUGAUGCGUGCUCGCUCGAGGGAGACUCCCGCCUGGGAUCUGGGGCAGCGAGACGUCGGGAGCUUGUGUAUUUGUGAGGCUGUAUCGGGGUGCUUCUAAUGCCCAUGACCUGAAUCUUCCUCUGUUUUAAACCUUUAGGUUAUGUUUUAUAUCAGCGUGAGCAUCUUAUUCUUGAAGACUUUGGAACCGAUGAAACAAUCAUAGGUGUUGCCCUGGGAGUUCUGCGCAUCUGUUUCCAGGUUGCUCGCAUCGUCGGUACACGGCUUUGCUGUGUCCCUCGUCCGUGAGCCAGCCUGCUAGUUCCUCCUCUGAUCUCAGCCUGGUGACGCUUGCCGGUUCUUGGCCAUAAGUGACUUCCUGAUAGAAAAGGACCCUCAGGCUUCAGUAUCCAGCGGAGUUGGCAGCUCUGUCAGAAACGGAACUGAGGUCACUUUGAGACUACCUGCAUUCUCUUCCUGGAAGGACACCCGGCAAUAGGUGUGAAACAAAACAAGAAGCAGCCUGCAGGACAGGAAGUCGCUGCACCAGAAUGGUUUUCGCCUGCAGGAUGUGCUCUUCCUCUCACAUGUCAGUUUUGGGAAAUGGAUUGAUUCAUUUUAUAACUUUGGAAGAUACUUAUUCUUUGUUACAAGAAACAACUACUUUAUUAUAGGAACAAAAUAAUAGUAUUUCAUAACAGUUCAUUUGUCAUGUACCCUUGGAGUUUCUCUCGAUAACCAGCAUAGCUGUGUUUCUCACAGAAUUCACGUUUGUCAUUAAGAGGCUGGAACUCGGUCUACACACCAUCUGAAUUGUGACCUGGGGGCGUGUUUGCCUGGCCUCAUGCUGGCCACAUCCCUGUUUCCUUUCCAGAUCGCUCGCGUUAGUCUGAUUACCGGGCUGUGUGCAUGGACAGACAGCGCACACUGACUAUGUUUGGUGUUACUUUUCAGAACCUGAGCUACAGAGCUUGAGUUGGCUAAUUGAUAAGCUGUGUUUUAUAUUACAUUCCUUGUACCUUCCUGGAAAGGAAUUUGACCUUUGCAAAAACUAUGAUAAGUGAUCAUUAAAGAGGUGUUUGUAAAAUAAAUUGAAUAUCACUUCCUAA